AGAUGCUCAUUCCAUCUCUUAUGUUCGCCUUCGUGCCUCAUAAACUCCGGAAUGAUGCAGAGCCGUUCUUACGGUGCUUAUCGUCCACUGACAGAUGUCGCAUUUAUGCCUCAUCAAACACCAUGGACAUUACGUUGAGUGAAGCACCCAAUU
rnacentral:ncRNA from 3 species